AGAAUCAACGCUGGCGGCGUGCCUAACACAUGCAAGUCGAACGCGAAAGGGGAGCAAUCCCUGAGUAGAGUGGCAAACGGGUGAGUAACACGUGGGUGACCUGCCUUCGAGUGGGGGAUAACGUCCCGAAAAGGGACGCUAAUACCGCAUGACAUCCUGUCCUUGGAAGGACGGAGAUCAAAGCUGGGGAUCGCAAGACCUGGCGCUUGAAGAGGGGCCCGCGCCUGAUUAGCUAGUUGGUGGGGUAACGCUCACCAAGGCUACGAUCAGUA
rnacentral:rRNA from 1 species